rnacentral:rRNA from 1 species
GACGAACGCUGGCGGCGUGCUUAACACAUGCAAGUCGAACGGAAAGGCCCUGCUUUUGUGGGGUGCUCGAGUGGCGAACGGGUGAGUAACACGUGAGUAACCUGCCCUUGACUUUGGGAUAACUUCAGGAAACUGGGGCUAAUACCGGAUAGGAGCUCCUGCUGCAUGGUGGGGGUUGGAAAGUUUCGGCGGUUGGGGAUGGACUCGCGGCUUAUCAGCUUGUUGGUGGGGUAGUGGCUUACCAAGGCUUUGACGGGUAGCCGGCCUGAGAGGGUGACCGGCGACAUUGGGACUGAGAUACGGCCCAGACUCCUACGGUAGGCAGUAGUGGGGAAUAUUGCAUAAUGGGCGGAAGCCUGAUGCAGCAACGCCGCGUGCGGGAUGACGGCCUUCGGGUUGUAAACCGCUUUCGCCUGUGACGAAGCGUGAGUGACGGUAAUGUGUAAAGAAGCACCGGCUAACUACGUG